UAAAAUCCGCGUGACUAUAGUCUAGGCCCCGCCAAUGGGAUGAUACGUUGGCCCUGUCGACUUGUACUGAGGAACUAGUUCCGACACCGCGACCACCGGUGAUAGAAUAGUGGCGGCACAGGGGUGCAUUUUUGCUCUUCGGAGCGGCUCGAUGGAGCGUGAGAUUGGCACCAGGGGGUGCGGCACAGUGGUGCGUUGGCUCAGUGGAGCGGCUCUUCGGAGAGUUGUAUUGGCACUUCGGUGUAACCAUGCCACUGGGUGAUGUGGCCGUAGUCAUGCGGUUGAGUUAUUUUGAGUCUCGGAUUGGGUUUACGGGUUAUCGUGUGGAUUUUGAAUUUAUGAGUUUUAGCUGCUUUUCAUAUGUAUCAUGACAUGUU
rnacentral:lncRNA from 1 species